UUUUGACCUCGAAUCAGGUGGGACUACCCGCUGAACUUAAGCAUAUCAAUAAGCGGAGGAAAAGAAACUAACAAGGAUUCCCCUAGUAACGGCGAGUGAAGUGGGAUGAGCUCAAAUUUAAAA
rnacentral:rRNA from 1 species